rnacentral:lncRNA from 1 species
UGCACACCUGCCAAUACAGUGUUCCCAGGCUGCCGGAUGUCUCGGGCCCAUCUCCUCAGAGCCGUGACCAGGACCAGGGAGGAAAACGGAGCCCUGUGUACCCCUAAUAGCUCAAAGAUAAGAAAGAAGGGGUGUCGUGGUAAGAACAAUAGGGAGAAUAUUAGAGCAGGUCCUGUUCAUCCUAAUGAAGAUGCAUCGUUGGCACUUGCCUCCCGCAUGGCUGGGAAAGAGCAGUGCAACCAAAAGGCCCCAUCCAGAUGGAGGAGCUCAGUAGAACAUCUGCCUUGCAUGUCUGUCACCUCCCUACCUCCUGCUGCUGUGUUAGCUGCCAGCCAUUAUAGCAGCUCCUGAGUCAAGGGCCCUCCUCUUGUAGUGCUUUCUUGGAGCUUUGACAGAUUAUCUGCACUGUCAUUCCCAACAGCAUUGUGCCAUCUUUCUUAAAACUGCAGGAAGAUCCUGAUGGAAAUCUCAGUCCUUUAAAAAAAAAAAAAACCCUCCAAAAUAGAUUCCAUUAAACUAUAGUUAUGCCUGCAAAUUUUAUAUCAACUGGCAUUAGGCAGUUAGUUCACUGUAUCAACUACAUGGAUGGCCUAUAGCGUCCAUGUGACACUGAAGAAACGAGAGAGCUGUGGAAAAUGCAUUCACCCCCUCCAUGUCCUCUACCACCAAUCUAAGUCCAAACCAGCCUCAUCUCCUGCCCAGAUUAUUACAGUAGCUGCCUAAUUGAUCUGGUCCAACCAUCUUAGUUAGUCCAAAUCAUCACUUGCCUGAGCAUUACUAAGUAGCCUCCUAACUAGCAUGUUUCCACUCUAGCUCUCCUUAACCCAGUUGAUUUUCCACAUUUGGGCACGUGAAAUAACAUUUUUGAAACCAAAUUCUGAACAUCUGAAUUUUGAUGAAAACCUUUCUAUGGCUUCCUAAAGCUAUUAGAAGAUUAUUUACUACUGAUAAAUCAAGAUUGCUAUUGGCACCCUGAAGGCAAUGCAUGAUCUAUCCUUUGCCUAGCUUUUAUCUAAAAACAUCAUUUUCCUUGUUCCCCAUACUUUAGUCGUACCAGCCAUUUAUCUGUUCUGCCAACAUGCUAUGGUCCUUUCUGCCCUAGGGAUAUUGUAAUACUAUUGUUUCAGACUGGAAAUCCUUCCCCAUCUCAUUACACUUCACCUACUAGACCAUCACUUUUCAUAAUUCCAAUUUAAACACCACUUCCUCAGAGAUUCCCUGUGCUCCAUCACCCACUAAUCCUUUCUAUAGUUUCCUUUCCUCUACUUUUGAAGCUCUUAUAGUUUGUAAUUACAUAUCACCAUGAUUAUUUUAUUAAAUACCUAUCUCCCUCCACUAGGCUGUGUUUACCGAGAAGCCAGAAACUUUGCUUUUCUCACUUCUUGAAUCCAGCAUUUUCUGGUUUCAAGCUAGUGUUCAUUAUACUGCUUUCUGAACAGAUUUGUCAAAGAACAAAUAACCAUUUAAAUCUAAAUGACUCUCAAUAUAAACACUGCCUGUAUAAGUUUUUCAAACCUAUGCCAUUUGAUGUAUUUUUAUAUAGGAGAAAUUGCAACAUCAGUAUUUUCAAACAUGAGGCUGAGCUAAGAACUGAACUAAGAGCAAACACCCAUAAUACUUGUUGUCAGUAACACUUUGCAAAACCAUAGACUUUUAUCUACAUUCUUCUUCUCAUUGAAGUUUUAUUCCCCCCCCACCAAAAAAAAAAAAAAAAUCAACUGUGGACAUCAGCAUCAAGGUAAAAAUGGAACUGACCUAAUCUUCUGCUUUUGUGAGUUUACCUAAUUUAUUUAGUGAAAAUGAAUGUCAACUCGCUUAAUUCUGUUAAGUCCUGCUUGGGUUUCUUGGUACAAAUUCCAUAUGCUAAGUGCACUAAAAUGGCAAAGCCUUGCUCUAUUAUGACAUCAUCCCUUUCUUUGAAAAAUAAACUGUUUUCAUAAAUACGUUUAAUAACA